GAAGUACUCCCUCCAUUCGGAAUUACUUGUCUCGGAAAUGGAUGUAUCUAGAACUAAAAUACGUCUAGAUACAUCCAUUUCUGCAACAAGUAAUUCCGAACGGAGGGAGUAGUUG
rnacentral:pre_miRNA from 1 species